GCCCGAGUGGCUCAGUCGGUAGAACAUUAGGCUCUUAACCUAACGGUCCAGGAUUCGAGCCCCUGCUUGAGUG
rnacentral:tRNA from 1 species